rnacentral:rRNA from 1 species
GACGAACGCUGGCGGCGUGCUUAACACAUGCAAGUCGAACGAUGAAGCCGGAGCUUGCUCUGGUGAAUUAGUGGCGAACGGGUGAGUAACACGUGAGUAACCUGCCCUUGACUCUGGGAUAACUGCUAGAAAUGGUAGCUAAUACCGGAUACGACCCUCGGAGGCAUCUUCAGGGGGUGGAAAGAAUUUCGGUCAAGGAUGGACUCGCGGCCUAUCAGCUAGUUGGUGAGGUAAUGGCUCACCAAGGCGACGACGGGUAGCCGGCCUGAGAGGGUGACCGGCCACACUGGGACUGAGACACGGCCCAGACGCCUACGGGAGGCAGCAGUGGGGAAUAUUGCACAAUGGGCGCAAGCCUGAUGCAGCAACGCCGCGUGAGGGAUGACGGCCUUCGGGUUGUAAACCUCUUUUAGCAGGGAAGAAGCGAAAGUGACGGUACCUGCAGAAAAAGCACCGGCUAACUACGUGCCAGCCGCCGCGGUAA